GCCUCAGAAAAAGUGGAAAACAGCUGGUCCUCAGGAUCCUCCAGCCUUUGCCAAGGAAAAGUGGUUUUAAUCACUGAAGAAUGAGGCUUCAACAUAUGGAAAGACUGUAAGGUAACAAGACACACAAUUCUUACAGAUCCCUCAAGAGCUGUUUGAAAAAUAGUGGAUUUUAAAAUCUAGAAGGAGUGUGAAAGGAACCCAGGGGCUUUGCCAAUGGAGUGUCAUCAUUCAGGCCCCAUUUUGAAUCUAAACCAUCUGAUGAACCCUUUGCUGACACAUCAGCCUAUUGCUUCCUGGAAGAAUAAUUUGCACUUCAAGACUAAUUCUGAAACAAUACAAUUGCAAGGAGGAAACACAUUUGGAGUAGAGAAAUUAUAUAUGUAUAUAAAACUUAUUAUCUAACCAGGACAUAUUUGAG
rnacentral:lncRNA from 1 species